UGGACUGCUCACGGCACCGAUUCCGGCCAGAUGGGGUCGGGGGUCGUGACACCAACCCAAUCGGGCUCCCAAUUUGAACUCCCCCCAAAAAAAUUCUAAAAAACAGCAGAAAAAUUCAAGGCAAACAAAUCAAAACCCUAGCUUCCAAUUUCAUACCAAUACCAAUGGUUUGCAACUCUUCGGCCACUAUAGUUCUCCUGGCCCUCCGUCGCCUCUCCAACCUUUGUCAGAUUCUACAACAAAGUCCCUAAAUAUGGCAAAGGAAAAAUCAAAGGAGUCCCUAAAUCACCACCGGACCAAUCAAAGGAAAAAUAUGAAGCACAUGCAAGAGAUAUAUGCGCCACAACAAGCUUCAGGGAUUUCAGGUUUAAUUGAGACCCAAGGAAACAUUUGAAGAACAUGGUUCUUGGUCUCCCUCAACUCCCAGCUAAUGUGACACGAGAAAGCACACGGCUGCGCCCAACAAUGUUGUGGAGCGGUGUUAGGCCUUUUAGAUCUGGUCUUGUAUUUGCAACAGAACCUUGGAGUGGUGUUACGUCUGCAAUGGUUUAAACAGUUCCAAAGACGUCACCACAGGGAGCUAUCACCAGUUCUAGAAUCGGGGGAACUAGAAUCAGGCAAAGGCAAGAAAGAAAUGGAAGCAAAACAUUUCAGAUAGCUCGGAUCUCAUUGAUGUCGGGUGGUUGGUCAAUGAUUAAACUGUCCACAACAUGAAUCUGGUGGCUGGUUAUUGAUUUUGCUAUCAAAUAUUGGAGCAGUUCACAAUGGCAAAACAACUAGAUAUAAAUUUCCAGCACUUUCAAGUCUAAAAGCAGUGAGUAUAUGGAUUUGAAGACAACAACCUAGAAUUAGUUCUUAGUUUAUGUGU